UACGUAGGGUGCAAGCGUUGUCCGGAAUUAUUGGGCGUAAAGAGCUCGUAGGCGGUCUGUCGCGUCUGCUGUGAAAACUCAGGGCUUAACCCUGAGCUUGCAGUGGGUACGGGCAGACUAGAGUGCGGUAGGGGAGACUGGAAUUCCUGGUGUAGCGGUGAAAUGCGCAGAUAUCAGGAGGAACACCGGUGGCGAAGGCGGGUCUCUGGGCCGUAACUGACGUUGAGGGACGGAAGGCUUGGGUAGCAAUAAGG
rnacentral:rRNA from 1 species